rnacentral:rRNA from 1 species
UCCGCCGGGUGCUAGCGUUGUUCGGAAUCACUGGGCGUAAAGCGCGCGUAGGCGGCGCAGCAAGUCAGGGGUGAAAUCCCAGAGCUUAACUCUGGAACUGCCUUUGAAACUGCUGUGCUAGAGUGUCGGAGGGGAUGGCGGAAUUGCUAAUGUAGAGGUGAAAUUCGUAGAUAUUAGCAGGAACACCGGUGGCGAAGGCGGCCAUCUGGACGACAACUGACGCUGAGGCGCGAAAGCGUGGGGAUCAAACAGG